UGCAGAUCCAAGCCUCCGUGUGUUCCUGGGGGCUGACAUGCCAGACCUCUGCCACUUCGGCCCCCUCCGGAAUUUGGGCAGGGACGAGAGUGAGAGGAGAAGCCGAAGGGGUGCUGCAGGCAACUCAGCGCUGGCCUGCAGGUGCCCCUUGGUGCCAGGAGCAUAAGCACCAAGGACUGCAGCGGGAGACAGACAGGCUCCUGGGCAGAAGUGGGUGGCUACCUGGUCCAUUAAAGCCCCGGGCUCACCCAGAGCAUCCAGAUGACGCAGAGACAAUGGGAUGACUGGCUGCAGAGGGUAGCUACCUUCUCUGCUGAUAGCAGGAGAAGGUGAGCAGCUCGAGAGAGGAGCUGUCCUGUCUGCUGAGAGAUUCAGAGACCUACAGAGACGUCAGGACUACCAGCUGCAGAGAGGAGAGGGCUACCAGCUGCUGAGAGCUGCAGAGAGGAUGGGAAGACCUGCUGGCAGAGAGAAGCCAUCCACUCCAGGGCCUCCUCCCUGUUGAGAGCUGAACACUCCAUGGGACGACCUGUCUACAAAGGAGCUAUCCACUGUGGGUCUCCUCUGAGA
rnacentral:lncRNA from 10 species